rnacentral:sRNA from 2 species
CCGACCGCGUCGUCCGAACUAGACAUUUCAGGAACGAGGACGGGGGACCCAUCUCCCGUGAGACCGGUUUCCGGCGGGCCCAGCGCCCAACGGAUUCCUUGGGGUGUAGCCGUGGCGGUACUCGUACCGGCGCGGCCGGGCAACCUCUCGCUCGAACCCGACAGCUGACUUCGUAGGCGCGUGGAGAGAGGAAAA